rnacentral:lncRNA from 1 species
UCCACUUUGACCACCCCGCUCCUAUACGAUGAGUGACGUCACCGUCAAUCUCUCCGUCCCCUUGAAUCACCGACCCAAGAUAUCUGACACUGUCCCUCUUGGCGAUGACCUGAGAUCCAAUCAUCACGUCCCUAUCUACUUCGCUCGGCUCGGUGCUAAACUUGCUCUCCAGGUAUUGUGUCUUAGAUCUGCUUAUUUUGAAACCCUUAGACUCGAGAGUCUGUCUCCA